GACGGAGGAUGCAAGCGUUAUCCGGAAUGACUGGGCGUAAAGCGUCCGCAGGUGGCAGUUCAAGUCUGCUGUCAAAGACCGGGGCUUAACUUCGGAAAGGCAGUGGAAACUGAACAGCUAGAGUAUGGUAGGGGCAGAGGGAAUUCCUGGUGUAGCGGUGAAAUGCGUAGAGAUUGGGAAGAACACCGGUGGCGAAAGCGCUCUACUGGGCCUGCACUGACACUGAGGGACGAAAGCUAGGGGAGCGAAAGGG
rnacentral:rRNA from 1 species